rnacentral:rRNA from 1 species
CCUACGGGUGGCUGCAGUGGGGAAUAUUGGACAAUGGGGGGAACCCUGAUCCAGCCAUGCCGUGUGUGUGAAGAAGGCCCUCGGGUUGUAAAGCACUUUCAGUGAGGAAGAACGCCUGGUGGUUAAUACCCAUCAGGAAAGACAUCACUCACAGAAGAAGCACCGGCUAACUCCGUGCCAGCAGCCGCGGUAAUACGGAGGGUGCGAGCGUUAAUCGGAAUUACUGGGCGUAAAGCGCGCGUAGGUGGCUUGAUAAGCCGGUUGUGAAAGCCCCGGGCUCAACCUGGGAACGGCAUCCGGAACUGUCAAGCUAGAGUGCAGGAGAGGAAGGUAGAAUUCCCGGUGUAGCGGUGAAAUGCGUAGAGAUCGGGAGGAAUACCAGUGGCGAAGGCGGCCUUCUGGACUGACACUGACACUGAGGUGCGAAAGCGUGGGUAGCAAACAGGAUUAGAUACCCUAGUAGUC